ensembl:lncRNA
CGGCCCCCUCUCUCUCCUCUGAUGGAGGAGUGAAGCUCACUGACACACACUCACAGACGCAACACGCCACAGGCAGGCUACCAGACAGACUGGCAGACAGGUAGGCAGCAGUCAGGCAACAUGACCCAAACAGGGAACAGCCUCAGCUCUGUGACCUGUGACAACAGAUGCCAACCACAGAACUGAACACUGAAGUUUACUUUGAGAGCCUCAGGGGAGCUGGAGUAAGCAGAAAAUAAGACAAAUAACAAGACGGGAUGAGGAGUGCUUGACUGCUGUUGUUGAGGCUGAGGAGGAGGGAGUAUUUUACUAACUUUUUCUGCACUUUCUGAACCUGUGGAAUUCCAUUCAUGAGCCAGAAGACUAAAGCCAGCAUGGUAUUCAGCUGGCAGAAGUCCUUUGCCAUUCUGACCCCCUGGAGGAAAGGAAAGGGGGACAAUGUGCUGGAAAAUGAGGUUAUCCUGACCAAGAUGAAGCUCUUCAACAACUUCCAUGUGAAGCUCCUCAACAACGAUGUUGAUUCUUCAUCCACUAUCGCCAUGUCAGUUUCUGAGCAGGACAUCUCAGAGCCUGUCAAAGGCUUGGAGGGGAAUGCUGACUUGGAUAACAUGCCUGGACAGUCCCUGAUGGAGUCAAGCUCAGACUACCUGUCAAACAUUUUCUCAAACUCUCAGCUUUCCAGGCUGUACAAGUUUGAGUCAGAGGACUCUGGGGUGGAACUGCCCAGUGGAACCAACUCUCCCUCCACACCCACCGGCUCGGAGCAGAGCUUUGUGGUCCACAGCCGGGAACCCUCCUAUGACUCCUGUAACCUCAACACUCCUGUCCCUACCCCAGAACCACUCCUCACAUUUGACCAGUGCUCUGACACCAAACAAACAGAGGAUAUGAGAGACACACCAUGUAUGACUGCAGACAGUGCUGUGCAGGAGUGUGAUAUGGUGGAGUCGGGGGCUGAACUCAACACAGAAGUUGAGAGGGUAGACCUUCAUAUAACUGAGAAGGACAUAGACAUGGAGAGGGCCCAGCACACAGCCUUGAGGGACCCCACUGAGGACGGUAAAGGGGGUUCAGAGCAGCUGGGUGAAAACAAGGCUGUAACUGAGGGGGUCAACUCAGAGAACACAAAGCCCAGGAGACAGUGCUCUACAGGGGCCUGUGACGAUAUGACAGGGGUUGACUUUGAGCAGCGGCCUCUGAGGAAAGGCACGACAAGUGACAGCCUGGAGGAGUAUAUGGAGGAAUGCUGCAGACUGAGUGAGGUCCACCAAGCCAGCUCCAACCCUCUGGGCUCCGGACUGGGCUACCUGGAGCACAUCUGCCAGCUCAUCGAGAAGAUUGGUCAGCUCCAGGAGCACAACGUCAGGCUGCAGAAGCAGAUCUGUGGUCUGCAGAAGGAUGGAAAGAUGGCCAAGAACAAAGAGGACUUCUUCCUGCAGCACUGUAGCUGUGGAACGGCCGGCCUGGCCUUUCAGGAACAGAAAAGACACUCCAGGAGUGAGUUCCUGACCACAUCCAUGAGUGGCACCCUCUCUGACCUCUCCACCAUCCCUGAGGUCACACGUCACACAGGACUCACAGCCAUGAGAGAGAGUGACCAAGGUAAUAACCAGCCCCUGGUGCCCCUUUGUAGGAGGGGCCUGAAUCGGAGGAGCUACACAGAGGGAGAGACACGCUCCUCUCUCUUUGACAGUACAGAGGGUCUCUCUGCCCCACACAGACGGGUGAGUGAGAACUACACAUGGGGCAGAGUGAAGGAUCUGGUGAAGAAGACCAAGCUGAGAAACCAGACCAGACUGGGACAGACAUCCACCUCCCUGAAGAGAUCCUGUCCACAGCUCUACUGCCCUGACCUGGGACAAGUGGAACUGCCAGGAAGAAACAGAAACUCCAUGGUCGCCUUGGGCCAUUAGAACAAACUGGACUUCCAGUGGCCCCAAUAACAAAGAAGAUACGAAACAGAUGGCCCAAAGUGGGAAGAGACAGCCCUGAAGAGGAGGACAAAGUGAAGUUGAACAGAUUCUUGACUGGACUGGGAUAUGAUGAGUGUGAAAGGAAGGAUGAGAGAAAGAACACUUGUGAUGGAUGACAAAAUUUGAGUGAGGAGUGAAAAGAAAACAAAAAGAUGGAUGGUCAUAGACAUCUCUCUCUCUCUUGCGAUACAAUUCUAAAAUAAGGGAUUUUAUUGUUUCAAAUAAGGGAACAUUGGUAUGUAUGAGAAUAGAGAUGCAUUUACUCCACAACGUACAUGAAAACGAUAUAAAUUAUUUAAUCUUGUACUAUACUCGUUUUCUAUACAAUUCAUAUGGUAGCUUAAUGUCUUCUCUAAAUGUAUUUUAUACAUUCAGGCUGACAUUUCAAUACUGUGUGUUGAUGGAGCAAACAAUAACUCUUUGAUAUGGUCGUUUCAUCAAAGAAAUAGACAAUAUUCUGGGGUGGAAAUAAAGACUUGGAUUAUCAUUGACAGUGAUUAGAUAGAGUACAUUAGAAAAGGCUGCUUGUUGAAUCUUGCUUUCGUCUAUGGUAAAGUCUGCUCCCAAUUGAACAUGGCUGCUGCAUAAUAACAUUAUUUACAAAUGUCUCGUGAUCCAUUAUGUGAGAGAGAAGUCUACAGUAAGACAAGUCAUGCUCCCAUGAACAAAUGUGAAACAUACACAUAUCGUACACAUAUCGUACAUAUUUCAGAAUUGUACUUGCAGAAUCUAUACAACAUAUUUAGUGUGAUUUAUCUUCUUGUUUUGAGUGUAGGCCUAUAUAGGCUAGGUGUUUGCAAUAUGGACCAUACAUGGAUGACAGAUUGUGGUAUAUAUGUUGUGUGAUUGUGCUGUACAUAACACAUGUUCAUGUAGUGUGUGUACAGACAGUAUGAUUGUACAGGAAGGGAGUUAUGUCUGUAAAUUCCUAUGUCUAUAUGAUGUAAAGUUAUCAUUAUUGGAGAGAGAGGUUCAAGAUCCCUAAAGAUAAAAUACAUUUAAAAAAACUGCUGUCAGAUGUUACGAUGACAUUUCCCUAAGGUAUUUUAAUGUUCCUGUCAAACAUUUGUUAAAAAAACAGUCAAUAUAUAUAUAUUUUUGAUAUAAAUUGAUAUGACUACAAGAUGUGAUUUACUAGAGUCUGCUGUUGCUUGUUCAUCUUCAAGAUAUAUAUUGUUUUUGGUCGGGAUAUAUAUUGUUUUUGGUCUGGUUUGACUAGCUAACAGUGAUUUAGCUUUUCUACACCACUGUUACAUCACUAUGAGGUUAUUUGAUAACAGACAGGCGAAACAAGUGCCACAGGGCUUUGGAAAUCUCACUGGGCAACUAGAGAAGGUAAGUUUCACACAAAAACUUUGGAAAGGAUUAUUAAAUUGGCUUUAAAGCCUUGACACCUACCUGAAAAACAGCAGCAGCUAAUUUCAACUGCUCAAAACUGUCCAUUGUGUAAAUGACAGGAAUGGAGUUAAUCCAAUUUUACAAGACACUAAUCCCACAGAAAGAACGCAAACAAUAGUUAGUUAUCCAGUAUGUACUUCAGCAACGUGAACUAGAGUGUAGUACAACACUAAUGAGUUCUACAUAAUGUCAUCAUGUAGUCCUAUUAAAAUAAUAAUGUACUCAUUCUCUAACUGUAUCAUACUGAAUUCAUGUACCUCUAAAUACUCUAAUCAAGUAGAAUAUAAAUGUGUUGCAACUGAGAGGCAGUAAAGGCUGUCAAUAUGUAUGAUACAUUUGUCGGGCUGGUAACUAAAGACAAAAGAUAGUGAUAUCUGUAUAUUGUAUAUUGUACAAUUUACUGCAAUGGAUGAAAAAUCUCAAUAUGCAUAUUGCAUCAUUAUUCAAAGUUAUUUUUCAAAAUAAAGUUGACAUUUCCUAAGACAUGAAAUGUAUGCUGUGCUUCUGUGGUUUUAGUUCAUUUUAAAUCACUCACUGACCCCUCACAGGAUAUGAAGCAAAUCAUGUUUCUUAUAGAGAGGACGUAAAGAGCACUACCUCAGUAGAAACUAGCUGAUCUUGCAAAUAAGUGGAA